rnacentral:lncRNA from 1 species
GGCUCUCCAAGAAGGCCACCCUGGAGAACAAGCUCCAGAGAGCCCAGAUGAGGCAGCAGCAGAAGAAGAAGGGUUCCAUCCCCUUCCUGGGCACGUUCCUCACUGACCUGGUGAUGCUGGACACGGCGAUGAAGGAUUACCCGGAUGUGAGUGACCCUCGGGCAGCAGCUUUGGGAGCAGGAUCCUGGGUCUUGGAAGGGAAGGCCCCUGUGUUGAACCCUCAGGUCCUGGCACUCGGCAACCUGCUGUUACGAGGGAGAGCCUCACACCUGGCCCUGGGUGCUGGAGGCUCCAAGUCCAUCCUGCCUAGGGGUGAAGCACCCUCCACAACGACCCCAAGUCCCUCUUUUCCAAAUCCUGAAGCCGUGGAGCUGCCUGGCUGCAAAGCUGCAGAGGGCCUUGGCAAAGCUGGACUGUCAGAACAGCAAGGAAAUAUAAUUUUCAGUGUGAGGAAAAUUUUGAGGUCUGGUUCCACUCGAGGGAGUGGCUCAGUGAGAACGAGAGGUGAGGCCAGGCAGGACUCGUGUGAAAGCCCAGGGUUGGGGAGGCUCUCCCUGGCUGCCGGCUGUGGAGAGCCUACGGCCACAGCUCCAGUGUCAGCCACAGACCCUGCUGCAAGGCGGCUGCUGAGGCAGCGGGACUCGGGCUGCUGGGUGGGCAUUGGGAGGGAGACUCCAGUUGGAGGUCUCGGUGGACUCACAGAUUGCUCUCUGUCCUGCAGCUACAACCUGUCCUGCCUUCUGGAGCCCCGAGCCCAGCAGGACAGCAGCACACUCAGGGACAGGAAGACUUCGUCCUAAGUCUCAGGAACCCCUGAAGACAUGUGCCAUCAGGGCCAGACAGGCUCGGCACUCAGUGAAACCUGAGCUGUGAGCUCCUGACAGAGCUGGCUCUCAUGUCCAGCUCCACUCUGACCAGCCUGGGAUCAGGGUGGGGCGUCUCACCACUGUUCCUCAAGGCCCCAUUGUCACCAAUUUGAAUUGCCCUUCCAAUGCCUUUUCUUUUUUACACAUCUUUAACUACUCUGAGCUUCUCUUCUUUCUCAGUGUUUUUAUUGAAAUAGAGAUAAAUUAUACAUUGUGUUUUACUCUUUUUUGUGAUUUUUUUCACUUUAGGUCAUAUAGUCUAUAGGUCACUAUAAGUCAAUGGAGAUCAUUCCCUAUGAAAACAUUUCAUUUUCUGCUAUUAAAUUUGAGAGUCUACCUGUGUAUCUGUCCGUCCAUCUAUAUCACAGUCAUGAAAUAUCUUUACAGCUUGGGGCCAUUAUAAACCCUGCAGUGAUGCCAGGUGUGUGAGCUUCCUGCUCUUUUUCUUCGGGAGGUUUACUGGACCACAUGUGGUGUUGGUCUCUCUCUUCUACACUUUCUUGCAUGGGUUUUAGAAUCCAGCGUAGUGCUAUAGUGUCACCCUCUCUUUGCAGUGUUCCCAUAUUCAUGAUGUUUCAGCACCGAUCAGUUAAAUCCUCAAAGAACACAUCCCAAGCUUCCACUGCUACAGGAUAUCACCAGAGAAAAGGCAAAAAUGUUAAUUGCAUAAUGCUAGGUCAAACCCUUCUCCCACUCUUUCAAAAUUGGACAGAAGAAAA